AUUGAACGCUGGCGGCAGGCUUAACACAUGCAAGUCGAGCGGAGAGAGGUAGCUUGCUACUGAUCUUAGCGGCGGACGGGUGAGUAAUGCUUAGGAAUCUGCCUAUUAGUGGGGGACAACAUUUCGAAAGGAAUGCUAAUACCGCAUACGUCCUACGGGAGAAAGCAGGGGAUCUUCGGACCUUGCGCUAAUAGAUGAGCCUAAGUCGGAUUAGCUAGUUGGUGGGGUAAAGGCCUACCAAGGCGACGAUCUGUAGCGGGUCUGAGAGGAUGAUCCGCCACACUGGGACUGAGACACGGCCCAGACUCCUACGGGAGGCAGCAGUGGGGAAUAUUGGACAAUGGGCGAAAGCCUGAUCCAGCCAUGCCGCGUGUGUGAAGAAGGUCUUCGGAUUGUAAAGCACUUUAAGUCGGGAGGAAGGGCUGUAGGCUAAUACCUUGCAGUUUUGACGUUACCGACAGAAUAAGCACCGGCUAACUUCGUGCCAGCCGCCGCCGUAAAAC
rnacentral:rRNA from 1 species